GAGCUCAGUCUGUAGAGUAUGAGGCUCUUAAUUUUAGGGUCGUGGGUUGGAGCCCCACAUUGGGCA